rnacentral:tRNA from 1 species
CUGAGCGGAGAGCUAGUUACAGCGUCUAACUUUUAAUUAGGAGAAAAUAAAUUUAUUUCCGCUCC